rnacentral:rRNA from 1 species
UACGUAGGCAGCAAGCGUUGUUCGGAGUUACUGGGCGUAAAGGGUGCGUAGGCGGCUUCUUAAGUCUGGUGUGAAAUCUCCCGGCUCAACUGGGAGGGUGCGCCGGAUACUGAGGGGCUAGAGUGUGGGAGAGGAAAGUGGAAUUCCUGGUGUAGCGGUGAAAUGCGUAGAUAUCAGGAGGAACACCGGUGGUGUAAACGGCUUCUGGACCAUAACUGACGCUGAGGCACGAAAGCGUGGGUAGCAAACAGG